rnacentral:rRNA from 1 species
ACUCCUACGGGAGGCAGCAGUAGGGAAUCUUCCGCAAUGGACGAAAGUCUGACGGAGCAACGCCGCGUGAGCGAUGAAGGCCUCGGUCGUAAAGCUCUGUUGUUAGGGAAGAACAAGUAACCGGAAGUAACUGCCGGUACCUUGACGGUACCUAACCAGAAAGCCACGGCUAACUACGUGCAGCAGCCGCGGUAAUACGUAGGUGGCAAGCGUGUCCGGAAUUAUUGGGCGUAAAGCGCGCGCAGGCGGUCCUUUAAGUCUGAUGUGAAAGCCCACGGCUCAACCGUGGAGGGUCAUUGGAAACUGGGGGACUUGGAGUGCAGAAGAGGAGAGUGGAAUUCCACGUGUAGCGGUGAAAUGCGUAGAGAUGUGGAGGAACACCAGUGGCGAAGGCGACUCUCUGGUCUG